CCUACGGGUGGCAGCAGUGGGGAAUAUUGGACAAUGGGCGAAAGCCUGAUCCAGCCAUGCCGCGUGUGUGAAGAAGGCCUUCGGGUUGUAAAGCACUUUCAGUGGGGAAGAAAGCCUUGGGGCUAAUACCCUCGAGGAAGGACAUCACCCACAGAAGAAGCACCGGCUAACUCCGUGCCAGCAGCCGCGGUAAUACGGAGGGUGCGAGCGUUAAUCGGAAUUACUGGGCGUAAAGCGCGCGUAGGCGGUCUGAUAAGCCGGUUGUGAAAGCCCCAGGCUCAACCUGGGAACGGCAUCCGGAACUGUCAGGCUAGAGUGCAGGAGAGGAAGGUAGAAUUCCCGGUGUAGCGGUGAAAUGCGUAGAGAUCGGGAGGAAUACCAGUGGCGAAGGCGGCCUUCUGGACUGACACUGACGCUGAGGUGCGAAAGCGUGGGUAGCAAACAGGAUUAGAUACCCUUGUAGUC
rnacentral:rRNA from 1 species